UGGGGAAUAUUGCGCAAUGGGCGAAAGCCUGACGCAGCGACGCCGCGUGAGGGAUGAAGGUUUUCGGAUCGUAAACCUCUGUCAGAAGGGAAGAAACCGCACUGUGCUAAUCAGCAGUGCCUUGACGGUACCUUCAAAGGAAGCACCGGCUAACUCCGUGCCAGCAGCCGCGGUAAUACGGAGGGUGCAAGCGUUAAUCGGAAUUACUGGGCGUAAAGCGCACGUAGGCUGCUUUGUAAGUCAGGGGUGAAAUCCCACGGCUCAACCGUGGAACUGCCUUUGAGACUGCUUAGCUUGAAUCCGGGAGAGGGUGGCGGAAUUCCAGGUGUAGGAGUGAACUCCGUAGAUAUCUGGAGGAACAUCAGUGGCGAAGGCGGCCACCUGGACCGGUAUUGACGCUGAGGUGCGAAAGCGUGGGGAGCAAACAGG
rnacentral:rRNA from 1 species